rnacentral:rRNA from 1 species
AGUGAACGCUGGCGGCGUGCUUAACACAUGCAAGUCGAACGAGAACGGGUUAUAGCUUGCUACAAUUGUCAGCUAAGUGGCGCACGGGUGAGUAAUGUAUAGGUAAUAUGCCUCUUACUAAGGGAUAACAAAUGGAAACGUUUGCUAAUACCUUAUACUCCUUAUUAACAGAAGUUAAUAAGGGAAAGAUUUAUUGGUAAGAGAUUAGCCUGUAUUGUAUCAGUUAGUUGGUGGGGUAAUGGCUUACCAAGACUAUGACACAUAACUGGUUUGAGAGGAUGAUCAGCCACACUGGAACUGAGACAUGGUCCAGACUCCUACGGGAGGCAGCAGUGGGGAAUAUUGCACAAUGGACGAAAGUCUGAUGCAGCAACGCCGCGUGGAGGAUGACACAUUUCGGUGCGUAAACUCCUUUUAUAUGAGAAGAUAAUGACGGUAUUAUAUGAAUAAGCACCGGCUAACUCCGUGCCAGCAGCCGCGGUAACAC